rnacentral:rRNA from 1 species
UUAACCUACCCAUCAGAGGGGGAUAACACUUGGAAACAGGUGCUAAUACCGCAUAACAGUUUAUGCCGCAUGGCAUAAGAGUGAAAGGCGCUUUCGGGUGUCGCUGAUGGAUGGACCCGCGGUGCAUUAGCUAGUUGGUGAGGUAACGGCUCACCAAGGCCACGAUGCAUAGCCGACCUGAGAGGGUGAUCGGCCACACUGGGACUGAGACACGGCCCAG